rnacentral:rRNA from 2 species
CGGACUGGCCCAGGGAGGUCGGCAACGACCACCCAGGGCCGGAAAGUUGGUCAAACCCGGUCAUUUAGAGGAAGUAAAAGUCGUAACAAGGUCUCCGUAGGUGAACCUGCGGAGGGAUCAUUA